AUUCCCCCCCCCCCCCCCAGUUCUUUCGUCAUCAAGAGCUUUUGCUCAGUUUGGAACUACCUUCUCUGCCAAGGGUCACCAAAGUCAGAUGCAGUAUGGCACCCGGCUGGCUGGUAACAUAAAUGUCACAAGCAGGCCAAGUGGAAGGCAGUUGUUCAACAGCUUGUAUUGGGCCCAAGAAUGACCCCUAUCUAGUUAUACUAGCUAAGUGGUUCUCAAGUUUUACCGGGCAUCUGCAUCAUGUGGAGAGCUAGUGAAAACACAGAUUGCUGGGUCCCACCCCCAGAGUUUCUGAAUCAGUAGAGAGUCAGGAAUUCUGAUGAAUAAUUCUGAUGCUCCCGGUAAUUCUGAUGCUGCUGGUCUGGAGAGCCAUUCUACUUUGUAAUUUUAACUCAUUGCCCAGGCCAAACAAGACAGCUUGCAGGCUGUAGGCCUCUUCCUAGCAGAGGUCAACAUCCUACCCUGGCCACCUUCUGAAUGGUGAAGACCUGCCUUGGGAAGGCUUGACAGUUUGGAGGCUCCUACUUUUGGCCCAAGAUAGUGUCAGGAACUCCUCUUGGCUCAGCCACUGGAACCUCCUCCGUGUUGGUUACCCAUGUUUCGUUCUACUGGGCCUCUUGAAUAAGAUGACACUACUGGGCUGGAGGGCAGAGCUCAGAGUGUUGGGAGAAUGCACAAAGACACUGAGCCUUUGACCCUUUAGCUUUGGGAGCAUUUCCUGUUUGCACUCUGUGCCUGCCGGUGGGGGGGACUCAGGCAACAAAACAUGACCCUUCCCGUAGAGGAUCCCCUUGGGCCUCUCACCACCCCCUGCCUGCAUUGCCCGUCUGUCCAUGAUAAAGGCUGUCCUCCGCAGGGCAGAGCACAUUUGUCUCUUUUAAUGUAUAUUUAAAAGGUAUUGAUAGCCAAAAGGGCCGGGGGGACCCAUGCACAGCCCUGCCUUGGCAGCUGGCAUUUUCCCGUGUAAAGGCUUCUUUCUCCUUCGCUCCCAGAAGGCCAGACCAGGAAAGGGCCUUAAAGGUCAUGCGACCCAAACCCUUGAGGCCAGAGAGGGAGGUAAGGGUCACAGGGUCACUACCUCAAGCAGGGGCAGAGUUAGUCCUGGGACCCUGGUCUUUCUUACUGGUGCAUCUUGCCAAUUCAAGGACAUACCUAUGUAUGAGGUACGUGCAUAGGUAGAGGUACAUACAUACCUGGAGGUCUCAGUACCUUGGCUUUUUCUUCUUUCUCUUUAGUGUUUUCACCUCCACCCCAGCACCUGCCCCUGACGCUCCCUCUGCUUCCUCUCAGCUGCCCCGCCCUUCCCCCCAGGCCCUUGUGCCUCACUUCUUGAGUUCAUCCUGCCUGAGCAGGACAUUUCCUCGCGGCCUCUGACUCGGUCUUUCCUAGGGCAAUAGAGUGAAACUGUCACGCAGGCCCUGACGUCCUACCUGGAACAAACACUUGGCUUUGCGUAUCAGCCUGGUGGCCUGGGUCUGUGGUCCCAGACGAAUUCUUAGUUAUUAAUCCCCUGCACCCUGCUCUCCAGCCACCUGCUGCUGGCCUGUUGUCUCCCGCGCUGCUGUACCUCUAGGCUGUGCACAGGGCCUGAGAUGUAAUUGGGACUCAGUGCGAUUGUGGAGUCAUAAGUGGGUGCAUAGAUAUGCUUUGUUCCUUCCCUUGAUUUGGAUUUGGGUGUCUUCUUGGGAACUCCAAAUCCGACCUUACAGGGACUCAUGCUUGAGCGAGUGACCCAUGUCAGUGGGAUCUUAGGCCCUUAGGAGGCGGCCUGUGCCACAGGGUCCCUUUCUCCAGGCCCCACCUAACCUUCAUUUGUGGCACACUGACUAAUGCCAGGCACCUGCUAAGUGAUUCACACCCAUUGUUGAUUCUCUCAGCAGCCCCUGAGAUGGGUAGGGCCAUCUUUAUUGGUGUUGAGAGGUUGAGGGACUUUUAAGGGUCUUGCCUUAACUAGUCCUCGGCUCCCUCCCUUCCUUGGCUUUCUGGAGGCUGUUCUUGAACUGAGGCUUGAGACAGUCACUUCCUUCUGGUCUGGAGGGGUAAACAGAGGCAAAUCACCCCACGUGGAAGGAUCUGGCCCUAUCUGGGGACUGGGCUGUCUCACCCCUCUUCCCAGGCCUACAGCCGGCCUCUGGCGGGCGGGCCUGGGCAUGACGGUGCCCCUGCUUGGCAGGGGAGCGAAUCCGUCACCAGGGCCAUCCUACAGCCGCCUUCCCUGAACGAGUCUGUGCAAUUCCAUGUCACUUCACACUCCUCCUCCUGAGGUCUUCUCAUCGUAGCCAGAGUUCUCAUGUCGUCAGUUUAGCCUAACAGCGUGUUGGAAAGGUGAACCCCAGAUGCCUCAGGGUGCGCCCCUGCUCCCUUCUGCCCUUCCCACCCUCCCCUCUACUGCCGCCUCUCCUCGGAAACUUCCCUAGGUCAGGGCAGUCACACACAGCUGUCCCCUGUCUUUGUCCGGGGGCUCUGGUGUUUGUUUGAGGCUCUGGAUUGAUGCUCACAGACCAAUGUUUUUGGUGCCAGGGAAGUGCUGAUACUUCCGCUUUGCUGAGUUGCACGGUCCUUGUUCCGGGCCCCCCUUCGAGCUCCCCCUCCUCAUCUGUGUUUGCCGGCACAGGAGCUCGUGUUCCCAUCAGAUGAGUCAGGGGAGAGAUCUUGGAAGAGUAAUUAAUUUGAGCAGAUGCGUGUCAGUGUCCUAGGAAAUACAAGAUGUCGGUACAAACCACCUGUGCUUGCUCUGACCGCAGAGCUCCAGGAAUGCAGGUGGGCCCCUCUUUAGGAAAACCCACUAGGUCAAGGCCGUUUGCAUCAUCAAAAAAAAAAAAAAAGUCACUUUACAGAAGGAUUUGCUGCUAGGUUCCUUAAAAUUGGAGCUCUGUUAGUUUAUGUAACUGGUUUACAGGUCAUUAAGUACUUGACAGAGAGGCUUUAGGGACCGAAAAACUUUAUGUUCGAGCUGAAGAACCAGUGCCAAUUACAGAUUCUUCAGAAAUGAAGCAUCUCAGAGAUUGUGCGUAAGCCCUUGGGGACAUGCUGUCUGGCUCGCCAAAACAUGGCCGCACUCACCCUUUUAGAGAUGGUUGCCGGGGAUUCCUACAGAAAUGUACCUGUUUUUCUUUAAUGAUGGACCCUGCGCUACUUUCCCGAUUGAUCCCCCCCUCAGCGCUACAUCCCCUGGAGGCUCUUAGGGGUGGGAAUACCCCGCUGAAAAUCAGGGUUCAGUUCCUGACCUUAGAAGAUUUUCCUGUAGUCUCCUGCUUCUCUAGUAGAUUCCCGCUCUGCUGCCCAAGGCUCCCUUGCUUACCUUCUCUCACUUCGGACCUCCCUGCUCCCCUCCCACCCCCCCCUCAGGCCGAGCCCAGCAUCUCUCCGCAGAGGAUGCGGACCAGAGCCUGCUCCAGCUCUGCCCCUCUUCCUGGCCAUGAGCGGAGUCGUUGGCACACUGGGCCCAGCUCCCUCACCUCCCAGUCACUCUCCUGCCCGCUUCAGUCUGACCUCUGUCCCCACCUCCCCUCCCCCCUGGGCAGGUCACCGGUAGCUUUCAUGUGGCCCGGUCCUCCCACGGACCCUUUGCUCAUCUUGGCUUCUCAACAGCAUUCGGCACCCUCUUCUGCUUGGAGACACUUUUUCCAGGCUCUGGACACUGCACUCCCCUGGCUCCCUUCCCACCCCCCCCUUGUGCUUGUUCCUCCUUUCCUCUUGUCUAGAUAUCGCUUCUGCGCUGUUCUUGCUAGGUGAGCACACCUGUUCCCAGGCACUAAAUACCAUCUAUACAGAUGACUUCCAGAUUCCUCUCUUGAGCUCUGAUCUUGCAGUUCCUUCCGUGUCCUUGGAUUUCUCAUUCAAAUGUCCUACAGGUAUCGCAAAUGUGUGUGUGUGUGUGUGUGUGUGUGUGUGUGUAUAUAUAUAUAUAAUCCCCCAACAACCCAAAUGCUUGAUUUCUUUCCCCAAAUCUGUUUCUCCUUCAAUCGUCCCCUGUCUCACGAAAUGGCGUCCAGCAGUUUGCAAUGCCAGAAACAUGGGUGUCAUCUCUGACUUCUCCCAUCUCUCACCUCCCAUCUCCUAUCCCGUCACGUCCAGCCGGGGUACCUCCCGCAUGUGUCUCGAAUUUAUGCCAUCUCCCCUACCACCCAUCAGUCCAGGCCACCAUGUUCUUUCCUGACCUAGGACAGUAGCCUCCUCCUUGGUCUCUCUACUUCCGCGUUUGCUUCCUGUCCUUCCCUUAGCACGGCAUUUUAAAAACAUAGGCCAUUUCAUGUUACUCCUCUGCUUAAAACCCUUCAGUGGUUUUAAGGAUAAUGAAUAAAAUCCCGACUCCUUGCUGUGCCUUAUGAGGCUCUGUAUGAUCUGGCCCAUCCUUGUAAUUAUCCAGCCUCAGCUUGUGCCCUCUUCUUGAUUUGGUUGUCCUCCAAACAGCCAUUUCCUCUUUCCUCCCCUCUUCCAUUGGAGCAGAAGCCUGAUUGUGUUCACACAGAGGGGAUUUUUUCCACGAAAGUGGUGGUGGUAUUUUCAGGGGAGAUGAGCCCUUCCCUCCACCUCCGUGCCAGGAGGGGGAUCAUGGUAAGGCCAUGACUUCAGUGCCAGUGAUUGGUUUCAUGGCGGGUGUGUGAUUGGUUCUGUGCCUUGGGACUCAGGGAAAUGUCUACCGGCAGCUUGUAGGAAAGGCGGGAGAUUUGUGCAUGGAGUUGUUGCCUCCAUGGCACCCUUCCUGCUUCUCAGAUGCUGGGUGAGGAUGUGGUCCUGGACACCAUGAGGCGAGACGCUGCCAGUGCCGAAGGGGUACAGAUGGGGGAGCAGGUCCUCGAAGACAUGAUUAAACUGCAGAAUCCAGCCUGUAAUCAACAGUCUCCUCUUGAGUGGGAUAAUACAUGUCUUUACGGUUCCGGCCACUUUUCGGAAGGCUUUCUGUUGCUUACAACUGAACCCAUCCUCACUGAUACUCUUCCUCCACUAGCUGUGUCAGCCCUUGGGCAGGCCACGCUCUUUCCUGCCCCAGCAGGUUUGCACAUACUGUCCCCUCUGUUUGGAUCCUCUCUACCUGGUCGUGGCCAGCGCGUUGGGUCCCACGUUGCCUCCCCAUCCAGAUUUUCCUGCCCCUGUUGUUUCUUUGUCUCUGCUCUGAUGAGUUUCGUUGGUAGCCUCUAGCACAUUUUGAUAGUAUUUCUUGUGUUUUACUCUUUUCUUCCCGUCUAGACUGUGAGCUCCAUACGGGCGGAGACCGUGUCUCUUGUAUGCUACUUUGGCCCAGCCGCCAUGUACAGUACAUCACGGAGAGAAGGUCCUCAGCUCCUGUGUUCACUGAUCGCGUGAAUGGAAGAACAGUCUGAUCCAUGCUAAUUCUCCCACCUUUGUCUUCUGCUACUCAGUGACAUCUCACACUUUGUACCCUAGCUGUACUGCCCUAUGAUAUUAUAGUUUCUAGAAUGUUCUCUAGUCUCUUUCUCUCUAGACCUCUGCAUGUGCCUGGCACAGAUCUUUCUUCUUCUCACGGAUACUCCCAACACUUCCGUAGGUCUUGGCUGAGAUGCAACCUCUUCCCAGAGCUUCCCUCCCCAGACCAUGUUCUUCCAGGAUGUUGUUCUGACCCAACAGAGCCCUUACUGGUUACCACCCUGGUAACCAGUAGACAUAAGACAAUGUGGUACGAGAGGAAAAGGGAAAUUGCGGCUCUGGAUGAGUCCCUCCUCAGCGGCCUCCGUGCGAUGCCCCCAAAGUCGUGCUGUAGCCCAAUUAGAAACCUGCUUGGCUUUUAGGAGCCCGAGUGCCUGCCGACGAAGAUUCCUAUUCUGGGCCCUAAUUACCGCUUGAUGGAAUGAAUAAAGACAUUGUGUUUUCUGCAUUUUA